rnacentral:piRNA from 1 species
UGACACAGAAGUUUAAUAAAA